rnacentral:rRNA from 1 species
CGCGCAGGCGGUUUGGGAAGUCUUGGGUGAAAGCCCCCAGCUCAACUGGGGAAUGGCCUGAGAAACCACUAGGCUGGAGUGCUGGAGAGGGAAGCGGAAUUCCCGGUGGAGCGGUGAAAUGCGUAGAUAUCGGGAGGAACACCAGAGGCGAAGGCGGCUUCCUGGACAGACACUGACGCUGAGGCGCGAAAGCUAGGGGAGCAAACG